UUGACUGAGUGGCGGACGGGUGAGUAACGCGUGGGUAACCUGCCUUAUACAGGGGGAGUAACAGUUAGAAAUGACUGCUAAUACCGCAUAAGACCACAGGACCGCAUGGUCCAGUGGUAAAAACUCCGGUGGUAUGAGAUGGACCCGCGUCUGAUUAGCUAGUUGGUAAGGUAAACGGCUUACCAAGGCGACGAUCAGUAGCCGACCCUGAGAGGGUGACCGGCCACAUUGGGACUGAGACACGGCCCAAACUCCUACGGGAGGCAGCAUG
rnacentral:rRNA from 1 species